CAUAUUACGUUGGUGCAAAAGUAAUUGCGGUUUUUGCCGUUAAAGGGAAUGGCCAUUAUUUUUGCACUGAUCUAUUAUUCGAAUUUAUUAU
rnacentral:miRNA from 10 species